GGAAGUAAAAGUCGUAACAAGGUUUCCGUAGGUGAACCUGCGGAAGGAUCAUUAACGAGCGAGGGUCCUAGUGGCCCAACCUCCCAACCCUUUGUUUACUGAACCUAUGUUGCUUCGGUGGGCCCGUCUCUGGACCGCCGGGGGUUCGCCGCGAGGCGUCCCCUGGCCAGCGCCCGCCGGUGGCCAACCAUUAAAACUCUUGAAUGAAUCGUGUCCUCUUGUCUAAGUCAUGAUUAUUAAAUCAAAAACAAAACUUUCAACAACGGAUCUCUUGGUUCUGGCAUCGAUGAAGAACGCAGCGAAAUGCGAUAAGUAAUGCGAAUUGCAGAAUUCCAGUGAGUCAUCGAAUCUUUGAACGCACAUUGCGCCCUUUGGUAUUCCGAAGGGCAUGCCUGUUCGAGCGUCAUUAUCACCCCUCAAGCCCUGUGCUUGGUGUUGGACGGUCGGUCGCGCCCCGCGACCCCUCCUAAAAACAAAGACGGCGGCCUGUGGUUCCCCCGGUACACUGAGUGCUUCGACACACGUAUCGGACGAGGGCGCCCAGGUCCCGGUCCUCUCCUUAACCGGAACUAUUUUACAAGGUUGACCUCGGAUCAGGUAGGAAUACGCGCUGAACUUAAGCAUAUCAAUAAGCGGAGGA
rnacentral:rRNA from 1 species